GUUUGAAGCGCAGGAAGCAAGUUGAUCCCCUUCGGGGGUGACGCUUGUGGAAUGAGCGGCGGACGGGUGAGUAACACGUGGGCAACCUGCCUGUAAGACUGGGAUAACCCCGGGAAACCGGGGCUAAUACCGGAUAAUACUUUCUUUUGCAUAAAGGAAAGUUGAAAGGCGGCUUCGGCUGUCACUUACAGAUGGGCCCGCGGCGCAUUAGCUAGUUGGUGAGGUAACGGCUCACCAAGGCGACGAUGCGUAGCCGACCUGAGAGGGUGAUCGGCCACACUGGGACUGAGACACGGCCCAGACUCCUACGGGAGGCAGCAGUAGGGAAUCUUCCGCAAUGGACGAAAGUCUGACGGAGCAACGCCGCGUGAGUGAUGAAGGUUUUCGGAUCGUAAAACUCUGUUGUUAGGGAAGAACAAGUUGGAUAGUAACUGAUCCAACCUUGACGGUACCUAACCAGAAAGCCACGGCUAACUACGUGCCAGCAGCCGCGGUAAUACGUAGGUGGCAAGCGUUGUCCGGAAUUAUUGGGCGUAAAGCGCUCGCAGGCGGUCCUUUAAGUCUGAUGUGAAAUCUCGCGGCUCAACCGCGAACGGUCAUUGGAAACUGGAGGACUUGAGUACAGAAGAGGAGAGUGGAAUUCCACGUGUAGCGGUGAAAUGCGCAGAUAUCU
rnacentral:rRNA from 1 species